CGAUAGCUAAUACCCGCAUAAUAUUAAUUAUUGCAUGAUAAUUGAUUGAAAGAUGCAAGCGCAUCACUAGUAGAUGGACCUGCGUUGUAUUAGCUAGUUGGUAAGGUAAGAGCUUACCAAGGCGACGAUACAUAGCCGACCUGAGAGGGUGAUCGGCCACACUGGGACUGAGACACGGCCCAGACUCCUACGGGAGGCAGCAGUAGGGAAUCUUCGGCAAUGGACGAAAGUCUGACCGAGCAACGCCGCGUGAGUGAAGAAGGUUUUCGGAUCGUAAAGCUCUGUUGUAAGUCAAGAACGUGUGUGAGAGUGGAAAGUUCACACAGUGACGGUAGCU
rnacentral:rRNA from 1 species